UUGCAUCAAAGUCCUUUAAAGCUGUUUCUCUUCCCUCCUCCCCUCCCCGGCUGGAAAGACGAUUUAUCCAUGCAAGCUAAGUAAACAGAUCUUUGUUUUCGUCUUCCACCCACUGCCCUCUUUCUCCAGCCCGAAGCUGGAGCCUCGCCAAGCCGGCUGCAGCGAUCGCUGCCUCCACACACACACUCACAAACACACACACACACGGGGCGGGGGAAGAAGCCGGGUUUCUCGGGUGAGGCAAUGCGCCUGCAAUUGGCAGGGACAAGGCAGGAAUUGUAAUUGCACUUCAUCAUGUGAUGUCUUAUGAAAGAGGAAGUUUGGAUGUUUUAGUCACGUACUCCUUUGCCCUCUUGCUUUUGCCUCCAGGUUCUCCGAAGGAAAAAAUUACAUAUAUUUAUAUAUACUGGUGGAAAGCCAAGAAACAGUGUGUUUGCGCAUUUCAGAUCAUGAGCAGAGCUGGAGUGCUAGCUGAGCCAGGCUGCAGGAAGCCAUCCCUUUGUGCCGGAUCUCUGUGAAACGCCCCUUGCUGCAACACACCAAGGCUAUAGAUAGGAGCAGCGAGUGCUGGACAAUGUCUUGUUGGGUGCAAGGCUGGGAAGGUCUGGGGCAGCCUCUGAGCAAGGAGCACCAUGAUGGCAUGGAUGGGGGUCCAGCACAGUGUGGAUCUUGUCUUGUCCCGGUGUGCCCAGUGUCACGGGAGCAUCACUACGAAUGUAAAGCUGUGUGCACUUCUGGGCUUGCAGGAUGAGAGCAUGCUUCCCCAAGAGCUGCUCGUCAGCGGCGUGCUGACGGCUGCCCUGCAGCCUGGAGCCGACUGCUGAUGGCAGGAGCUGACAGAGCCACUGGCACAGAAAUACUCCACCGAGGCCGGAGAGAGGUCAGUGCACUCGCUCAGUGUGAGGCAGGACGUGCCAGAGGAUCGAGAGGGACUCGAGCAGCUACUCAGUGUCUGCUGUUUCCCAUACGUGGGGCCUUUUAUUAACUCCUUGAAGACAGCUGCACUGAAUGCUGCUGCUUGGUGUUAACUUUUGAAGAGCUGCAAAGCAUCUAAGCAGAGCCUGCCUAGAAGAGGAAACAGCAGUAGGACAAUUGUUUGCCAUUCAUUCAUGGAUAUGUCCCAAAAUAUGGAGACGCUGCUCUUCUGCUCCAACGCUUUGCUCUAGACAGCCUGGUCAGGGCGAGUUACCAGGGACUCGCACUGUGAGCAAGAGCCUGUGUGCUACAGCUUCUGCUCCAUUGGUGGGCUCUGCUCUAGGCAGUUUGGAGAAAAAUUUGCAUGCUUUCUUUAAAAAGGGAGACAAUUCUGUUUUUAACAGCGCAGUUGACUUUAUGCCCUUUUUUCAAGUAGAAGUAGAAAAAAAAAGCAGCGAGGAAAAGAUCAUGGAAACACUUGAGAAAUUCAGAGGUUACUACCCUCCGAAGAGAACGAAAAACUUCAGAGAGACACUUCCAGAUACCAGAAGAAAGGGCAAUUGAUGUGGAAAAGCUUCCGCCCCUUAUCCCCAGGCUGAGUAAAUAGGCAUGUCGGGUUAUCCCAUUUACACCCCGCCUUGGUGCUCUGCAUUUCGAGCCACAGUCAGCAAUUGUCUGCAGCCCCGGGCGAGGGGGGCAGGAAUGUGGUGGCCAGGGGCUUCCCGGGGCGCAGGCAGAGCGGCCGGCUGGCCGGGUGACCCCUUCCCAAAAUAAACAGGAAGCCCAGGAAGCAGUGACCCCUCCGUGACACCGUGCUGGCUCUGCUCCCUGCCUUCUGUGCGGGAGCCGACAGGCUUCCAAAUACCCUCAGAAAAUUGGACAGGGGCGAGGACUCCACAGGAAACGUUACAAAAUAAGAGCAGAAACAGAUCGUCUGUUGAAAAAAUUACAGAGGGCUUUAAAGCUCCUUCUUUUUAGGCUCCUGGAUAGUUAUAUUCCUUGUCUGUGCUUCAUUCCCCUGAGCCCAUGUCGAUGCAGUUUGCGGAUCCCCGAGGAGCUGCAGAGGGGCAGAGCUUCCCUCUCUGCAUGUGUGGAAGUGCUGGUGUGCGUGAGCAAAGCGCAAAGAGGAGCCCCAAGGAGGAGGCUCUGCCAAAGGCUUUCUCAUGGGCUGGGGAGUUUCAGGCUGGGAAAUGCUUUUUCCCUGUUUGUGGGAGUUGGCAGUAGGGUCCUCACACAAAAUAAAAGUCAAAACCGAGGACCAGACCUUCUCAAAGUGUGGGCCAAGGGUAUUAAUGCUGUUUCCAACAUGGGAGUUCCUGCAUUACCCAAACAUCCCCCUGCAGCAGCAAACUGGCGCUUGCUGACAGCUCCAGCUGGCAAAUCACCUCCCGGGCCUGCCAGAAGAACUCGCCGUCCCAAAAGCCUCCCCGCCUUGAUGGCUGGUGGCCCCACGGUUUGGGGCAGGACAGGACCACCACCAGAGGGGCAGGCAGCCCAGCUGAAGGGAGCUGUGCUGCUGCUGAUAUCCAGGCUUCCUGGCAGCGCCGGCCAUUUCGCAAUCCCAUUUUUCUCCUCUCACAGCAGCAGUUGUCUGUCCUUCCUGCAGGGCACGGACACCUGGAGGGGCUGGGGCCUCUGGGGGGCAGGUGCCCAUGGGUUUGGCCUCCACACAGAUCAGCUAGUUCAAAAAGACUCACGGGAGAGAAAAGGGGAGAUGGAUUGCCUCUCUGAUUCCCUACCAAUUGCUAGGAUUGUGUAGCUACCAAACACUGGGUAGCAAGAUGUACUCUGUUGGUGUGCUCCCCUAUCCCCCCUCUUCAGAGGGGUCGCUCUUUAGGGAAAGAACCAUAAUACAGGGAGCGGUGGGCAGCUGCUACAGCAGAGUCCCUUGAACAGACCAGUUUUCCUUCAGGAGGAAUUUUGAUUAUUGGCAUGCAAAAGCUGCAAAAUGGUUCAUUAGGCUGCAGCCUUGGUUUGUUCCAGGCACACUGAGUUAUUGUUGGGGUGCCCAUGUUUCUGCUAGUCAUUGCAGCUAUACCAUUUCAAUUUUGCAACGAGACAAGAGUUAACAGAAGGGUGCCCAAAUCUAAGAACAGCACAGAAUGGAAACAAAAUUUGGUUUGGGCUUCCCAGCACUUCCUCUCAUUCUCUCCCUUUCUCUCUUCCUGAUGCUCAGGCAGUGCCUGAUGCAGUGCCCCUCCUCUGCAGAGAACCCCUUAGGGAGCAUUCUGGGCAGGCAGAGCAGGGAGGAAAUGCUCCUCUCUGUGCUUCAGCCCAUAGCCUUGUC